rnacentral:rRNA from 1 species
GUGUCAGCCGCCGCGGUAAUACGGAGGGGGCUAGCGUUGUUCGGAAUUACUGGGCGUAAAGCGCACGUAGGCGGCUUGGUAAGUUAGAGGUGAAAGCCUGGGGCUCAACCCCAGAAUUGCCUUUAAGACUGCUGGGCUUGAACGUCGGAGAGGUGAGUGGAAUUCCGAGUGUAGAGGUGAAAUUCGUAGAUAUUCGGAAGAACACCAGUGGCGAAGGCGGCUCACUGGACGACUGUUGACGCUGAGGUGCGAAAGCGUGGGGAGCAAACAGGAUUAGAAACCCCCGUAGUCC